UCGGACGGGAUUGGAGAGCUUGCUUUCCAUGAGAGUGGCGCACGGGUGCGUAACACGUAUGUAACCUACCAUUGUCAGGGGGAUAGCCUCUCGAAAGAGAGAUUAACACCGCAUAACAUUAUUGAGCAGCAUUGCUUAAUAAUCAAAUAUUUAUAGGACAAUGAUGGGCAUGCGGGACAUUAGCUAGAUGGUGAGGUAACGGCUCACCAUGGCGACGAUGUCUAGGGGAUCUGAGAGGAUGACCCCCCACACUGGUACUGAGACACGGACCAGACUCCUACGGGAGGCAGCAGUAAGGAAUAUUGGUCAAUGGAGGCAACUCUGAACCAGCCAUGCCGCGUGCAGGAAGACGGCCCUACGGGUUGUAAACUGCUUUUGUACCGGAAUAAACCUUGAUACGUGUAUCGAGCUGAAUGUACGGUAAGAAUAAGGAUCGGCUAACUCCGUGCCAGCAGCCGCGGUAAUACGGAGGAUCCAAGCGUUAUCCGGAUUUAUUGGGUUUAAAGGGUGCGUAGGCGGCUUAUUAAGUCAGGGGUGAAAGGCGGUAGCUUAACUAUCGGAGUGCCCUUGAUACUGAUGAGCUUGAAUGCAGCUGAGGUAGGCGGAAUGUGACAAGUAGCGGUGAAAUGCAUAGAUAUGUCACAGAACACCGAUUGCGAAGGCAGCUUACUAAAGUGCGAUUGACGCUGAGGCACGAAAGCGUGGGGAUCAAACAGGAUUAGAUACCCUGGUAGUCCACGCCCUAAACGAUGAAUACUCGAUGUUGGCGAUAUACGGUCAGCGUCUAAGCGAAAGCGUUAAGUAUUCCACCUGGGGAGUACGCCCGCAAGGGUGAAACUCAAAGGAAUUGACGGGGGCCCGCACAAGCGGAGGAGCAUGUGGUUUAAUUCGAUGAUACGCGAGGAACCUUACCCGGGCUUGAAAGUUAGUGAAUGAUACAGAGACGUAUCAGUCCUUCGGGACACGAAACUAGGUGCUGCAUGGCUGUCGUCAGCUCGUGCCGUGAGGUGUUGGGUUAAGUCCCGCAACGAGCGCAACCCCUGUGUUUAGUUGCCAGCACGUAAUGGUGGGGACUCUAAACAGACUGCCUAUGCAAAUAG
rnacentral:rRNA from 1 species